UGAUACCAAAUGUAACUACCCGACCCGCUAGCAACAAUAACUCGUCGAGCCAAAACUGCCGGCCCAAAAUGCUUAAGCCCAGUUAUUAUUAUUAUGGUGGAGUCCUCUUAUAAACCCAAUAAUAACCUCAUUCCCAUCCGACGUGGGAUUAUUAGGAAGUCACACACCUCUACGAUCUAUAGCAUAUCCAAGUCCGCAUCACUACCACCAGGAACAAGGUAGGGGUAAGUACCCAAACAUCAACAUAGGGAGGUGGAGGAGAGAAAAUGGGAGAAAACGAGAGAAUAAAGAGACGAAGAAACGAUAAGGACGAGAGAGACGAACCAGAAAGAGAAAAACGAAUGAGAGAAAAGAGAGAGAGAAAGAGAAAGGAAAAUAAGGAUAUUUUGAUCAGUUUCUAAAAACUUCAAGCUGAAUU
rnacentral:lncRNA from 1 species